rnacentral:lncRNA from 10 species
CCUUUGGCCUCCAGAACAGUGAGACAUAAAUUUUUGCUGUUUAAGCCACCCAGUUUGUGGAACUUUGUUACAGCAGCUGUAGCAAACUAAUACAGAUAGGAAGUGAUGGUGGUAGUGCAAUUAUAAUCUGAUAGGAACUUGUGCAUAAUGAUAGGAUGAAACCAACAGGUGUUUGUGUGCACACGCAUGCAUGGGAACAAAGGAAUAGGUGAAGAACACUGAGUACAGAACUCAUCAGCUUCCUCAAAGCUUCAAAGUGAAACAUUGAUGGGUGGGAUUUCAAAUCCAGACUCUAUGGUAUGAUUGACGGUACUCGAGAGGCCUAAGCAGUACUCGAGAGGCCUAAGCAGGCAACAGGCUUGACGGAGGAGACUAAAGAGAAGGCUUACUAAGUGAAUACUGUCUUCCGUAACUGACAUAACUUUCUGCCACGGGAAAACCUCCUUUCCCAGUAAAUACUAGUUGAAUCAUCUAACCCCACUCUAUGGCUUUUAAGGCCAGUGUAGUGCCAGUUGGGGUUUUGCCCAGAUGUGUCACCCCCAACAGAUUGGUACUGGCCACCGUAAGCCAUAUUGGUGGCCGUGGGCUCAGGCAUCUCUGCAGCCAGAUCAGAAACUGCUGUCACCAUGCCUUUCCUCCACAAGAAGAUAGUAGAAGCAUUUACAGUCAUUUUAUCAUGAAGCCAUUUUACUAUUUUAGAUGAAAUUUAAAAAUUAAUGUAGCUUUUCAUCACAUCUAUCUGUAAUUCACUCAAGGAUACAUCUUGAUCAAGGAUACAACCCCUGGGCAGGGUAUAGUGGCUCACACCUGUAAUUGAGGCCAGGAGUUUGACACCAGCCUAGGUAAAUAGGAAGACCCUCUAUCUACAAAACAAAACAAAACAAAACAAAACAAAACAAAACUAGCUGGGUGUGUUGGGGCAUGGCUGUAGUCCCAGCUAUUUGGGGGGCUGAGACAGGAGGAUCGCUUGAGCCCAGGAGUUUGAGGCUAUAAUGAAAUAUGUGAAAUAUGAUGGCAUCACUGCACUCCAGCCUGGGUGACAGAGACCCUGUCUCAAGACAGUUUUUCUGUAUGAAGAUUGGUGAGGGUACAAAUUUUAAAAAUAAACUUUAGCGAAAGCAGGGUCUGCAUCCAAACCAUCUAUGUUUACUUAAAUAAAGAUGUUCUUUCCAAAUGGCUGUUGGUUUAGUUGGAUGCCUUUUCUUGGAUAUGUUGAGUACAAAUAUUGGGAGCAAACAAUAUGAAUAUGGGGA